CAGGGAGCCGCAUGUAAGAAGCCGCCAUUUUGAAAGAACUGUUGGUGGACUGCACGUUGUCUACUGUGUAUAACUCAACAUGGCUGAUGAUGAUGACCAAACUGGGGAUCAAGAUUUCAACCAGUACACCCUCUGUAUCACUGAACAUGUGACAGAUGAGUGGAAGGAUCUGGCUUUGAAGCUAGGACUGAGCUGGGAGGACAUCAAAAACAUUGAUGGGAGAAACAAGGACUACAGGUCUUGCUGCCAGGACAUGCUACAAGUGUUCAGAAGUAGAACUCCAGGCCGCUAUGCUAUAUGGCAGAU